GCUAUACAUGCAGUCGAGCGAACAGAUAAGGAGCUUGCUCCUUUGACGUUAGCGGCGGACGGGUGAGUAACACGUGGAUAACCUACCUAUAAGACUGGGAUAACUUCGGGAAACCGGAGCUAAUACCGGAUAACAUAUUGAACCGCAUGGUUCAAUAGUGAAAGGCGGCUUUGCUGUCACUUAUAGAUGGAUCCGCGCCGUAUUAGCUAGUUGGUAAGGUAACGGCUUACCAAGGCAACGAUACGUAGCCGACCUGAGAGGGUGAUCGGCCACACUGGAACUGAGACACGGUCCAGACUCCUACGGGAGGCAGCAGUAGGGAAUCUUCCGCAAUGGGCGAAAGCCUGACGGAGCAACGCCGCGUGAGUGAUGAAGGUCUUCGGAUCGUAAAACUCUGUUAUCAGGGAAGAACAAAUGUGUAAGUAACUGUGCACAUCUUGACGGUACCUGAUCAGAAAGCCACGGCUAACUACGUGCCAGCAGCCGCGGUAAUACGUAGGUGGCAAGCGUUAUCCGGAAUUAUUGGGCGUAAAGCGCGCGUAGGCGGUUUUUUAAGUCUGAUGUGAAAGCCCACGGCUCAACCGUGGAGGGUCAUUGGAAACUGGAAAACUUGAGUGCAGAAGAGGAAAGUGGAAUUCCAUGUGUAGCGGGUGAAAUGCGCAGAGAUAUGGAGGAACACCAGUGGCGAAGGCGACUUUCUGGUCUGUAACUGACGCUGAUGUGCGAAAGCGUGGGGAUCAAACAGGAUUAGAUACCCUGGUAGUCCACGCCGUAAACGAUGAGUGCUAAGUGUUAGGGGGUUUCCGCCCCUUAGUGCUGCAGCUAACGCAUUAAGCACUCCGCCUGGGGGAGUACGACCGCAAGGUUGAACUCAANGAAUUGACGGGACCCGCACAAGCGGUGGAGCAUGUGGUUUAAUUCGAGCAACGCGACGA
rnacentral:rRNA from 1 species